AGAGCACUUCCUUGGUAAGGAAGAGGUCGUGGGUUCAAAUCCCAUCUUUGGCU
rnacentral:tRNA from 1 species